AGCCCCGUCGUCUAGUGGUCCAGGAUGCGAGGCUCUGGCCCUCGAGACCCAGGUUCGAAUCCUGGCGGGGCUA
rnacentral:tRNA from 1 species